rnacentral:rRNA from 1 species
ACGUGAUCUGAGUUCAGACCGGAGCAAUCCAGGUCAGUUUCUAUCUAUAAAGGGCUCUUUCUAGUACGAAAGGACCGAAAAAGCAUGGCCAAUACUAUAUGCAAGCCGUCACUAAAAAUUUAUGAUUAAAACUUAAUAAAUAAUUUACCUAUGACUUCCCCCAAGAAAAGAGG